rnacentral:rRNA from 1 species
UACGUAGGUGGCAGGCGUUGUCCGGAUUUACUGGGUGUAAAGGGCGUGUAGGCGGGAAAUUAAGUCAGAUGUGAAAGUCCAUGGCUCAACUGUGGGAGUGCAUCUGAAACUGAUUUUCUUGAGUACUGGAGAGGAAAGCGGAAUUCCAAGUGUAGCGGUGAAAUGCGUAGAGAUUUGGAGGACCACCAGUGGCGAAGGCGGCUGUCUGGACAGUAACUGACGCUGAGGCGCGAAAGCGUGGGGAGCAAACAGG